UACGUAGGGUGCAAGCGUUGUCCGGAAUUAUUGGGCGUAAAGAGCUCGUAGGCGGUCUGUCACGUCGGCUGUGAAAACCCGGGGCUCAACCCCGGGCCUGCAGUCGAUACGGGCAGACUAGAGUGCGGUAGGGGAGACUGGAAUUCCUGGUGUAGCGGUGAAAUGCGCAGAUAUCAAGAGGAACACCAGUGGCGAAGGCGAGUCCCUGGACAACUUCUGACGCUGAGGCACGAAAGCUAGGGGAGCAAACAGG
rnacentral:rRNA from 1 species